rnacentral:rRNA from 1 species
CCUACGGGAGGCAGCAGUGAGGAAUAUUGGUCAAUGGACGCGAGUCUGAACCAGCCAUGCCGCGUGCAGGAAGACUGCCCUAUGGGUUGUAAACUGCUUUUAUACGGGAGUAAAGUGCGGCACGUGUGCCUUUUUGUAAGUAUCGUAUGAAUAAGGAUCGGCUAACUCCGUGCCAGCAGCCGCGGUAAUACGGAGGAUCCGAGCGUUAUCCGGAUUUAUUGGGUUUAAAGGGAGCGUAGAUGGGUGGUUAAGUCAGUUGUGAAAUUUUGGGGCUCAACUGUGAAAUUGCAAUUGAUACUGGCAGUCUAGAGUACAGUGGAGGUAGGCGGAAGGCAUGGUGUAGCGGUGAAAUGCUUAGAGAUCAUGAAGAACACCGAUUGCGAAGGCAGCUUACCAAACUGCGACUGACGUUGAGGCUCGAAAGCGUGGGUAGCAAACAGGAUUAGAUACCCUAGUAGUC